UGGGGAAUAUUGGACAAUGGGCGGAAGCCUGAUCCAGCAACGCCGCGUGAGGGAUGACGGCCUUCGGGUUGUAAACCUCUUUCAGCACAGACGAAGCGCAAGUGACGGUAUGUGCAGAAGAAGGACCGGCCAACUACGUGCCAGCAGCCGCGGUAAUACGUAGGGUCCGAGCGUUGUCCGGAAUUAUUGGGCGUAAAGGGCUCGUAGGCGGUUUGUCGCGUCGGGAGUGAAAACACCGGGCUUAACUCGGUGCUUGCUUUCGAUACGGGCAGACUAGAGGCAUUCAGGGGAGAACGGAAUUCCUGGUGUAGCGGUGAAAUGCGCAGAUAUCAGGAGGAACACCGGUGGCGAAGGCGGUUCUCUGGGAAUGUCCUGACGCUGAGGAGCGAAAGUGUGGGGAGCGAACAGGAUUAGAUACCCUGGUAGUCCACACCGUAAACGUUGGGCGCUAGGUGUGGGAUCCAUUCCACGGGUUCCGUGCCGCAGCU
rnacentral:rRNA from 1 species